rnacentral:rRNA from 3 species
UACGUAUGGGGCGAGCGUUAUCCGGAUUCAUUGGGCGUAAAGCGCGCGUAGGCGGAGCGCUAAGCGGGACCUCUAACCCGAGGGCUCAACCCCCGGCCGGGUCCCGAACUGGCGCUCUCGAGUGCGGUAGGGGAGAGCGGAAUUCCCGGUGUAGCGGUGGAAUGCGCAGAUAUCGGGAAGAACACCGACGGCGAAGGCAGCUCUCUGGGCCGAAACUGACGCUGAGGCGCGAAAGCUGGGGGAGCGAACAGG